rnacentral:ncRNA from 1 species
GGGUACCGCUCCCACGCCUCUAGCCGCGCUCGGUAUAAGCGCAGGUUUCAGA